rnacentral:tRNA from 1 species
AGGAUGUAGCUCAGUGGUAGAGCACAUGCUUUGCAUAUAUGAAGCCCCGGAUUCAAUCCCUGGCAUCUCUG